UAUAUUUUAUGAUCUAAGAAGACACAUUAAACCAUAUGACUUGAUAUUGUUGAAGUUAUCUAACUCUUUUGAAAGGUAAGAAAACAUAUCUUAAAGUUACUUAACAAGUUUACAAAAACUAACUAGAAGACUUGCACGAAAAUCUUUUCGAAUUAGCUAGAAACAUUAAUAAACAUGAAUGUUGGUAACCCAAUAAUUAAAACUAAUUAAGUUAUGAAUUUUAUUCAGAAGCCCCAAUAUCGACUAAUAUACAUGAAUUAACAAAAAAAA
rnacentral:lncRNA from 1 species